GGCGAGGUAGCUCAGAUGGUUAGAGCGUCGGAUUCAUAACCCGGAGGUCGGGGGUUCGAUUCCCCUCCUCGCCACUA
rnacentral:tRNA from 1 species